GCUACUUUGGCCGAGCGGUUAAGGCGUGUGACUCAAGCGAAAGCUUGCCUUCUUGGAGGUUUCUCAUAGACAUUGUCUGCGUGAGUUCGAAUCUCACAGGUAGCA